rnacentral:rRNA from 1 species
UUUAACGGAGAGUUUGAUCCUGGCUCAGGACGAACGCUGGCGGCGUGCUUAACACAUGCAAGUCGAACGAUGAGGGCCCGGGCUUGCCCGGGUCUGAUUAGUGGCGAACGGGUGAGUAACACGUGAGUAACCUGCCCCCGACUUCGGGAUAACCGCGAGAAAUCGUGGCUAAUACCGGAUAUGACGCCCCUGCCGCAUGGUGGGGUGUGGAAAGACUGUGUCGGUCGGGGGAUGGGCUCGCGGCCUAUCAGCUUGUUGGUGGGGUGAUGGCCUACCAAGGCGACGACGGGUAGCCGGCCUGAGAGGGUGACCGGCCACACUGGGACUGAGACACGGCCCAGACUCCUACGGGAGGCAGCAGUGGGGAAUAUUGCACAAUGGGCGCAAGCCUGAUGCAGCGACGCCGCGUGAGGGAUGACGGCCUUCGGGUUGUAAACCUCUUUCAGUAGGGAAGAAGCCUCUCGGGGUGACGGUACCUGCAGAAGAAGCGCCGGCUAACUACGUGCCAGCAGCCGCGGUAAUACGUAGGGCGCAAGCGUUGUCCGGAAUUAUUGGGCGUAAAGAGCUCGUAGGCGGUCUGUCGCGUCUGCUGUGAAAACGCGGGGCUCAACCCCGCGCCUGCAGUGGG